GUUUAACCUUGCCCAUGACGAAACUCUGUUUUGGAAAGCGCAUCGUCGUAAUUGCGCAUCGCGAUAAAUGCAUCACCGGUCUCAUGCCUGAUUACUAUGGAUUAUUUAGCCCGAUAACCACGAACGCUGUUAUCGGAUUAAUUUUUAAAAAUUACCGCGACAUAUCGUGAAAUAUAGCUAUCCAGAGAUAUUUUCACGGACAUCACAUUGCGAAAUAUCUCGUCAAAAUCGGAUGAUAUGCCGAGUAUCUACUGACGAAAUAUUGAAUAUUGUGUUCGAGAAACACGCCGCCUCCGCGAAAUGUCACUUAGCUGCACUCUCUGCACUUUCCCUUUAAAAUGGAGCAAAUGUACUCGCGCUCAAAAAAAAAAAA